rnacentral:rRNA from 1 species
CCUACGGGUGGCAGCAGUAGGGAAUAUUGCUCAAUGGGGGAAACCCUGAAGCAGCAACGCCGCGUGGAGGAUGAAGGUUUUAGGAUUGUAAACUCCUUUUGUUAGAGAAGAGAAUGACGGUAACUAAAGAAUAAGCACAGGCUAACUCCGGGCCAGCAGCCGCGGGAAUACGGAGGGGGGAAGCGUUACUCGGAAUCACAGGGCGUAAAGAGCGCGUAGGCGGGAUAGCAAGUCAGAUGUGAAAUCCUAUGGAUUAACCCUAGAACUGCAUUUGAAACUGUUAUUCUAGAGUAUGGGAGCGGUAGGUGGAAUUCUUGGUGUAGUGGUCAAAUCCGU